GACGAACGCUGGCGGCGUGCUUAACACAUGCAAGUCGAACGGUAAGGCCCUGCUUUUGUGGGGUGCUCGAGUGGCGAACGGGUGAGUAACACGUGAGUAACCUGCCCUUGACUUUGGGAUAACUUCAGGAAACUGGGGCUAAUACCGGAUAGGAGCUCCUGCUGCAUGGUGGGGGUUGGAAAGUUUCGGCGGUUGGGGAUGGACUCGCGGCUUAUCAGCUUGUUGGUGGGGUAGUGGCUUACCAAGGCUUUGACGGGUAGCCGGCCUGAGAGGGUGACCGGCCACAUUGGGACUGAGAUACGGCCCAGACUCCUACGGGAGGCAGCAGUGGGGAAUAUUGCACAAUGGGCGGAAGCCUGAUGCAGCAACGCCGCGUGCGGGAUGACGGCCUUCGGGUUGUAAACCGCUUUCGCCUGUGACGAAGCGUGAGUGACGGUAAUGGGUAAAGAAGCACCGGCUAACUACGUGCCAGCAGCCGCGGUGAUACGUAGGGUGCGAGCGUUGUCCGGAUUUAUUGGGCGUAAAGGGCUCGUAGGUGGUUGAUCGCGUCGGAAGUGUAAUCUUGGGGCUUAACCCUGAGCGUGCUUUCGAUACGGGUUGACUUGAGGAAGGUAGGGGAGAAUGGAAUUCCUGGUGGAGCGGUGGAAUGCGCAGAUAUCAGGAGGAACACCAGUGGCGAAGGCGGUUCUCUGGGCCUUUCCUGACGCUGAGGAGCGAAAGCGUGGGGAGCGAACAGGCUUAGAUACCCUGGUAGUCCACGCUGUAAACGGUGGGUACUAGGUGUGGGGUCCAUUCCACGGGUUCCGUGCCGUAGCUAACGCUUUAAGUACCCCGCCUGGGGAGUACGGCCGCAAGGCUAAAACUCAAAGGAAUUGACGGGGCCCCGCACAAGCGGCGGAGCAUGCGGAUUAAUUCGAUGCAACGCGUAGAACCUUACCUGGGUUUGACAUGGAUCGGGAGUGCUCAGAGAUGGGUGUGCCUCUUUUGGGGUCGGUUCACAGGUGGUGCAUGGCUGUCGUCAGCUCGUGUCGUGAGAUGUUGGGUUAAGUCCCGCAACGAGCGCAACCCUUGUUCACUGUUGCCAGCACGUUAUGGUGGGGACUCAGUGGAGACCGCCGGGGUCAACUCGGAGGAAGGUGGGGAUGACGUCAAGUCAUCAUGCCCCUUAUGUCCAGGGCUUCACGCAUGCUACAAUGGCUGGUACAGAGAGUGGCGAGCCUGUGAGGGUGAGCGAAUCUCGGAAAGCCGGUCUCAGUUCGGAUUGGGGUCUGCAACUCGACCUCAUGAAGUCGGAGUCGCUAGUAAUCGCAGAUCAGCAACGCUGCGGUGAAUACGUUCCCGGG
rnacentral:rRNA from 1 species